UACGAACUGUGCAAACGUUGUUCGGAAUCACUGGGCUUAAAGGGUGCGUAGGCGGGCCAGUUAGUCAGGGGUGAAAUCCCACGGCCCAACCGUGGAAGUGCCUCUGAUACUGCGGGCCUAGAGGGGAACAGGGGCAUGCGGAACUUCCGGUGGAGCGGUGAAAUGCGUAGAUAUCGGAAGGAACACCGGUGGCGAAAGCGGCGUGCUGGAUUCCUACUGACGCUGAGGCACGAAAGCCAGGGGAGCAAACGGG
rnacentral:rRNA from 1 species